AAAACAUGACUUUGAUCUGCGUCCUCAUCUGGACUCUCCUCUGCUGCUGCUUCACAGAGUCCAGAGGACAGAUCACAGUGACUCAGCCUGGAGCAGUGAGCUCUGCUGUGGGAGGAUCUGUGAGCAUCAAGUGUAGGACCAGUCAGAAUGUUCAUGUUUAUAACAACAAUCAGCUUUUAGCCUGGUACCAACAGAAAGAUGGAGGAGUUCCUAAACGUCUCAUUUACUAUGCUAGCACUCGACAAUCAGGGAUUCCAGCUCGUUUUACAGGCAGUGGAUCAAACUCUGACUUCACUCUGACCAUCAGUGGAGUUCAGGCUGAAGAUGCAGCAGUUUAUUACUGUCUGAGUGAACACUACAUUAACAGCCAGCACGUGUUCACACAGUGACAAACAGUCGUACAAAAACCUCCCUCAGUCAGACUGAACAGAAACUGAACUGACUGCUGCAGCUGGAAGAUACUGCAGAGACUGAUACAGUUCACUGAGGACACACACACACACACACAUACACACACACACACACACACACGCGCGUAAAAUAAAUUGAUUCAUCAAAAAUUUGUGUCCUACUGCUAUCGCAUACAUGUUGUGUUCAACUUUCAAAUAUAUAUUUAACUAAAGAACAAACAUGGGCCAUUAACAGAUAUCAGGAUAAGUCCUGUUCAUGACCUUGACGACCUUAGAAGUGGAGCAAACCACUGAAUCUAUAUCAAGUUAAAAUAAUCUAAAUACCAAAAUCUGAAAAUGUUCCUGAUCAGUGAGGAUCAAAAUAAAAAAAAACACACCUGUGAAUUUAAGAUUUUACUGUAAACAUAUCAUCAAACAUGAACAUGAGUAAAAAAACUGUUAAUGAACUGAAGUUGUUUUUUUUUCAUAUUUUGUUCAUAUCAUCAUUCAUUUAAUCUUCUCCUUGUUCGUCAAUGAAAUUAAAACUUUGUACUUCAGAUUCUUUCUAAUCACUCCUUGUAUUCGUUGACUCUCCUGUCUGUGAGUUCUCCUCAGAACAAACAGCUCAUAAGA